rnacentral:rRNA from 11 species
CCCAUUAUCCUAAGGCACCAGGUCCCAUCUGAUCUUGGAAGCUAAGCAGGGCCAGCCCUGGUUGGUACAUGGAUGGCAGACCACCAGGUGCUGUAGUCUAUAUGUCAGAGCAGGCAUGGGC